GGUUCCAUAGUGUAGCGGUUAGCACGUCUGCUUUACAUACAGACGGUCCUGGGUUCGCGCCCGAGUGGAGCCA
rnacentral:tRNA from 1 species